AAGUACCGUGAGGGAAGUUGAAAAGAACUUUGAAGAGAGAUGUUCAUAAGAACGUGAAACCGCUCGGUUGUAAACGGACAGAGCUCGCGAAUCCCCGCCGGGCGAAUUCACGGUCGGUCUAACCGCCGGCCGGAUCUUUCGCUCGGUUAGCGGACGUCGCGACCCGUUGGGCGCCGGCCGAAUGGCCCGGGUGACGUUCGUCGCGUCGGUCGCGUUUCGGCGUGACCGUUCGCGCCGAGCCCCGGUGCUCAUGGUCGGCUCGCCCGACGGCAAGAACCGUCGACGCGGCCCCGUCGCAGGCGGGGUCCCGUCGGUCGGCGACGUGUUUCGAGCUACUUUCCGACCCGUCUUGAAACACGGACCAAGGAGUCUAACGUGUGCGCGAGUCAACGGUGAUCUUACGAAAAACCACGUUUGGCGCAAUGAAAGUGAACCGUUUACGGUGCGGACGAUGGCCUAGCGACCGAACCCACCGGCGUUCAAAGUCGCGCUGGUCCGCAGUCCGGGGGCGUCUCCGCCAAGUCGGCUUCGGCCGGCUGGGGGCGCACCCUUAGCGCACACGUUGGUACCCGAAAGAUGGUGAACUAUGCCUGGCCAGGAUGAAGUCAGGGGAAACCCUGAUGGAGGUCCGCAGCGAUUCUGACGUGCAAAUCGAUCGUCUGAGCUGGGUAUAGGGGCGAAAGACUAAUCGAACCAUCUAGUAGCUGGUUCCAUCCGAAGUUUCCCUCAGAUAGCUGGCGCCGAUGUGUCCCGCCCGUUCGCGGGCGUACGGACGCCGGUGGGACUCCGCGCUGUACGGCGCGGUAACAACACGCUCGUAACACGGAGGA
rnacentral:ncRNA from 1 species